AGACCACGGUGAUGGAAAAGGAGAAAGAGACACUCCAGGAAGGUCCGAGUGACAGUCUACCUGUUGCUGCGGGAGAAAAAGAACAAAAUGAAGCACAACGCCCACCAGUGACAGUGCUGACAGAUCUUUCGAAACCACUCUACAUAGAUGACCUCAUCAUUUAUAAAACUGGUGAAGGUGUGGACAGUGAGAAGGGUGGUGCACUUCAUAACAACACACAGAUGAUCUACAUUACAGCACUGUCUGUGGUAGUCACUGGUUUUAUACUAACUGUGAUACACAGCCUUGUUUUGUACCGGAGGAUCAGAAAACAAGAACGAGUAUUACCUCUUACAGGCUCUGUGUAUAAAACAGAAUACCAAAACAGAGCUGAAUCCAGGCGACGCUAGAAAAAAAAAAAGAAAGACAAAAUGAUGGGAUUGCCAUAGAAGCAGGGAACAUCAUCCACAAUCCAGUCAACUGGAAGAGUCAAAGUCUGCUUUCGAGUGACUGUCUGUGAGCCCGUCUGUGUGUCUUGCCUGUCGACUGCUGCAGUUGGUGGAGUGCUGCUUUGCACCACUCCUCCCUCUCAAGCAGUGGUGCGAGGAAGAGCUCCUUCGUAGCUUGCCAUACCCAGUCUCAGGAGAGGAUCUAGCUGCUUGGGCUGCCUGCAGCGCUGCACAUACUCUCCAAAGUCCUUGUAACAGAAGCUGCCCGCCUCAGGGAUUUGGCGCAGAGCUCUGCUGAACAGCUAGUUGGCCGCAAACUACCGCUGCGCUCUGACUGUAGCUGCUGCUGAAAGGGAUGUUGGGAAGGGCAGGCGUUGCCUCUGCAUCUCAGGAAGAAUAGCACGCAGCUGUUUGUGGACGACACCACCAUGAUCUUUUUCAUAAGCGAGACAGCUGCAGAUUUGCCGUCCCCUCUCUCCUCAUGUUCACCUGCUGCUGGAGCGCUGCAGUUGAGGUCAUCCCGAUGCGGGAGGUGCUGCGGGAGGGUCUUUACCUCAACUUCUGGACUUGCUGCCACAGGGCUUGGGUUGGCAGCUCUGCUUUACCACCUCUAUGUCCUGGCCCAGAUACCGGAUUGCUCUUGAGGCUAGAGCAAGCGUUUCUGUUGUUUUAAAGGAGGCAUUUGGGAACUGUCCCCAGCUCUGCUGCUUCUGUGGAGGAGUACUCGUUCCUUGUGAGGUGCACCUGGACCCCUGGAGGAAAGACUGCCACUAAAAGUGUUGAUUCAAAUCCCACUUCUCAGCAGAACCUUAGUCUCACAAGGACCUCUCUCACAAGGACGACCGUGUCCAAUUUUUCUUUCUGAAAUGCAUGGUUCUGCCUUUCUGAAACGCUGAUUUUGUAGAGAAGACGGCGAGCUUGCGUUUUCGUUUCUCUCUCUUCUUCCACAACAGUAUUUUUG
rnacentral:lncRNA from 1 species